ensembl:misc_RNA 7SK 7SK RNA
GGAUGUGAAGGCGAUCUGGCUGUGACAUCUGUCACCCCAUUCAUCGUCCGGGUUGAUUCCGCCGAUCUAGCUGACUAGGCGUGCGUCCCCUUCCUCCCUCACUGCUCCAUGUGCAUCCUUCCUGAAGCUACACGCUUGGUCAAAGAAGACAACAAUCCUUGAUAGAGGAAGAUGUGUCUUUGGUCAAAGGUAUACGAGCAGCUGUGCUUCCCUGCUAGAACCUCCAAACAAGCUCUCAAGGUCUAUUUGUAGGAGAAUAUGGGUAGUCAAGCUUCCAAGACUCCAGACCAUCCAAAUGAGGCAGUGGAUGAAGCAGCAGUCUGCCUUCGUGU